CUGCGGGCUCAAGUGUUCCACCACGAGACACAGCAUGUGUGCAGCCCACAGCUCCAGCACGAAUCCAACUUGUGUCCUGGCCAGGGAAAAAAUUCCUAGCGAUCCCGUAACUACCACACGAUUAUAACUGUCACAAAUACCAAGACUCGCGGGAGAAAAUCUGGGACUGGAAACUUGAACCACUGUUCAGAACAUGAGACACGAGGUUAUUAUUAAAGAACAGUCUCCUGGAGAGGAAGACUUACACUGCCAAAUGAGGCCUAACACAUUUCCUUGAACACCGAGCAGAGAAGAAGAGAAGGAAAAGCCCAGGUUACUCACGGUUCUUUUCACCUCUCCACCUCGACCCCGCUCUUAUUCUGGGCGAGAUGUCCACAGCAGCAGUUACUUCUACUAGCCAAAGCAGCAGCAGCAGUGACAGCACGGCCAUGCCAGGAAUACUUCAUUCACUGAGACAUGAUGAAAGCCACAUAUUCUCACACUGGAAGUCCAUGAGACAGUGAGGUCAGCCCCUAUGUGCGCAGAAGUCCCUCAACUCUCCUCAAAGCCAAAGCCACUUCCUCACACAGGGAACUCUCUGUCACCUCUUCUGAAGAACCCCAAACUGACGUUUUUUGGAAACUGAUGGUCUGGGAAACCUUUUGCCUUUUUUUUUUUUUUUUUCCCCCAGAAGG